CCAUGCUCUUCAAUACCUUGUUGGUAAUCGUCCUCUCUGUGUCAGGUGUGCUGAGCCAGACGGAAUGGGGAGUGACUUACACCCCUACAGGAGGAGUCUCUUCCCCUGCAGUCAAUGUGACAUAUCGUCCAAAGAACGUCUCAGUAUCAGUGCGCCCCUCUGGUGAAAUAGUGGAGGGCAGUUCAGUGACUCUGACCUGCAGCAGCGAUGCCAACCCAUCAGUGCAGAGAUACACCUGGUAUAAGAAUAAUAGAGCUGUAUCCCCAUGGGGAGGAUCAGACCAGAGUUAUACCUUUAAAAUCAUCACACUGCAGGAUGCAGGAGAAUACACUUGUCAGGCAGGGAAUGGGAUUGGGACAAACAGAUCUCCUCCUA